UCUGAAUCUGCGUACGGCUCCGCAAACCAGUUGUAAACUAUAGCAAGCAAGCUCAGGGCUGGCCUUCACUGGCCGGCUCGGGGCGAUAUGGAUAACCCUGGUAAUUCUGAGGCUAAUACAAGAGUGUAAACCUUGGAGGACCGGCUUCGGCUGGGAAUCUGGGGGAUGUGCGAUUGCAGGCUUGGUAACACCGGGAAAGGGCGCACGUUCAGAUCACGCUAAAAAGGUCGGGCUCCUUCGGGGGCCUGCCCCAGUGACUCUUGCUGUGUGCUUCUGACCUAUCAACUAGACGGCAGCGUAAGGGACAUG
rnacentral:rRNA from 1 species